rnacentral:rRNA from 1 species
UACGGAGGAUGCAAGCGUUAUCCGGAUUCAUUGGGUUUAAAGGGUGCGUAGGCGGGAUAUUAAGUCAGUGGUGAAAGCCUACAGCUUAACUGUAGAAUUGCCAUUGAUACUGAUAUUCUUGAGUACAGUUGAGGUGGGUGGAAUGUGUGGUGUAGCGGUGAAAUGCUUAGAUAUCACACAGAACACCGAUUGCGAAGGCAGCUCACUAAGCUGUAACUGACGCUGAGGCACGAAAGCGUGGGGAGCAAACAGG